AUGAUUUACCCCUUGCAGUGUACUUAUUACACUGUAUUGGAAUCGCUUCUUUUCUCUUUCUCUGUGAAUUUCUUGAGAGCACAGACUACAUUCUGCUUAACUUUUUAUCCCCAGCUUUCAGCACAGUGCCUGGCUUGUCUGAGGCGCAUGGCCCCGGGAGAGGAGGAGAAUGGGACGGUGGUUCAGAUCUGCUGAUGUAGCUGUGGUCAGUCACUGGGGAGAAUAGGCCUGUGGAUUUCUGCUCCUCUGAGAUGGAUCCAUCACUGACUACUGAACUUGUUUUCUCAUUGGCUCAACUUAAGAAGGUUCUAGAGGUGAGAAAAGAGUUCACAAAUCCAUUGGUCUGAAUGAGGUGAAUUUCUGAGAUAUGCUUUUAUUUUGGAGAACAGUAUACACAUUUAACUUCUAUUUUCAGUGUAGAAAAAAUGUCUAUCAUGGUUUUUGUCACUCUUAUUAAACACAGAAAGGGUAAAAUGCAGUUAUGGUUAUAGGUUCUCAGUUAUGCCUGAAAAAAAACUGAAGUAAAAUUUAAUUUAUUAAAAAUGAUCAGGAAAUCUUCCCACUACCAUGUAGGAUCAAGGACGUGAAACAACCAAAACCAAAGAGCAGCUGGAGACCACUUGCCAGUGAUUAGCACGAGGUAAGCUGCAAAGAACUUUGAAUUAGGUCAGUCUAAAUAAUAGGGCGUUUUUCAAGUCCUUGCCUUGGGAAGAUCAGGAACACGGUGAAUAAUUGGGAUUACCUUUGUCUCACUAAGAGCCAAACCCCAGGUGUUGUAAGGCUACAAAGCUAUCUCAUUGUCUUCCUGUAUCAUCCAACGCUGAGAUCCUCUGUGACAUUUUAAAUUGCUUAUGUAGCAAAGCAAAUGGAGUACAGUAUUCAAACAUAGUUUUGUGUUUGUAGAGAACAUAAGAAGCUGAAAAUAUGAAUGGAUUCAAAGUGCAUGUAGAAAAAAAUGUGUCUGCUAUCUUUGUGA
ensembl:lncRNA novel transcript, antisense to C7orf33 and CNTNAP2